ACUGAAAAAAAAGACAACAAAAAAAACAAUCGAAAAAAAGGAGACACAACUCAGCUCUACGCGUCUUUUUUUUUUUUACAUU
rnacentral:ribozyme from 1 species